rnacentral:lncRNA from 1 species
AAGUUAAUUCUAAUCCUAUUUAAUUUUUUAAUAUAAAUUUAAAUUUAAAUUUUAAAAUUUAAAAUUUAAAAAUUUAUAUAUUUAAAUUUUAAAAUUAACAUUUAUUUUUUAAAAUUUAAAAUUUAAAAUUUAAAAUUAUUAUUUUUAAUUAUUUAAAAUUUAAAUUUGAUAAUUUAUAUUUGUAACUUUAAAUUUUUAAAUUUGAGAUUUAAAAAUAUAGAUUUUAAUUUUAAAUUUUAAAUUUUAAAUUUAGAUUUAUUAUUUUUAAUUAUUUAAAUUUUAAAUUUAAAUUAAAAUAUAAAAAUUAGGGCAAAAUUAUUAUUUUUUAUUUAUAAUAACCCACUAUCCUUCUUAUCCCACCCACUCCAACCAAACACUAUUUUACUUAUACCUGAACUAAACUCAAUUCUCAACCAAACACAAAAUUACUCUAACCCCACCUUAACCCUGAACUUAACCCUAUUUCUGGAAUAGCUAGUUUUUACUUAACCCCGAACCAAAUGAAGUCUUAAAAAAUUUUCGCCUUUCUAAUUUAUUCCUCCUAGAAGGUUAAUAUUGAAAAUACUUUUUUUUUACGUUCCAACCGAUUUCAAAAAAUGAAAAGGUGACUUUUUUUUAAUGAAUUGAAAUCUCAAAAAAAUUCUCCAAAAACUAUUUUUUUUUUAGAAAUUAAAC